rnacentral:misc_RNA from 1 species
UCCCACUUGUCAUGGGCAGUUUCUUCAGAGUCCCCGGCUUAACCCGCUGGUAACUGAAGAUGAGGGUUGCGCUCGUUGCGGGACUUAACCCAACAUCUCACGACACGAGCUGACGACAGCCAUGCAGCACCUGUCUCUGGUCCGGCCGAACCGAAGCGCUCAUUACAAGCGCGACGACCAGGAUGUCAAGAGUUGGUAAGGUUCUACGCGUAGCCUCGAAUUAAACCACAUGCUCCACCGCUUGUGCGGGUCCCCGUCAAUUCCUUUGAGUUUUAAUCUUGCGACCGUACUCCCCAGGCGGGGUGCUUAACGCGUUAGCUACGAUACCGAAACUAAUGUUCCAACAUCUAGCACCCAUCGUUUAGGGCGUGGACUAC